GGAGAUAUAGCUCACUGGCAGAGCACUUGCCUAGCAUGCAGGGAGCCCAGUGUUCAAUCCUCAGUAUCACAA
rnacentral:tRNA from 1 species